UACGUAGGGUGCGAGCGUUAAUCGGAAUUACUGGGCGUAAAGCGUGCGUAGGUGGUCGUUUAAGUCUGUUGUGAAAGCCCUGGGCUCAACCUGGGAACUGCAGUGGAAACUGGACGACUAGAGUGUGGUAGAGGGUAGCGGAAUUCCCGGUGUAGCAGUGAAAUGCGUAGAGAUCGGGAGGAACAUCCAUGGCGAAGGCAGCUACCUGGACCAACACUGACACUGAGGCACGAAAGCGUGGGAGCAACAGG
rnacentral:rRNA from 1 species